UAGGGAAUCUUCCACAAUGGCCGAAAGUCUGAUGGAGCAACGCCGCGUGAGUGAAGAAGGGUUUCGGCUCCUAAAACUCUGUUGUUAAAGCAGAACAUAUCUGAGAGUAACUGUUCAGGCAUUGACCGUACUUAACCAGAAAGCCACGGCUAACUACGUGCCAGCAGCCGCGGUAAUACGUAGGUGGCAAGCGUUGUCCGGAUGUAUUGGGCGUAAAGCGAGCGCAGGCGGUUUCUUAAGUCUGAUGUGAAAGCCUUCGGCUCAACCGAAGGAGUGCAUCGGAAAAUGGGAAACUUGAGUGCAGAAGAGGACAGUGGAACUCCAUGUGUAGCGGUGAAAUGCGUAGAUAUAUGGAAGAACACCAGUGGCGAAGGCGGCUGUCUGGUCUGUAACUGACGCUGAGGCUCGAAAGUAUGGGUAGCAAACAGG
rnacentral:rRNA from 1 species